AUUGAACGCUGGCGGCAUGCCUUACACAUGCAAGUCGAACGGCAGCACGGGAGCAAUCCUGGUGGCGAGUGGCGAACGGGUGAGUAAAGUAUCGGAACGUGCCCAGUAGUGGGGGAUAACGUAGCGAAAGUUACGCUAAUACCGCAUACGAUAUCUGGAUGAAAGGGGGGGAUCGCAAGACCUAGCGCGAUGGGAGCGGCCGAUAUCAGAUUAGGUAGUUGGUGGGGUAAAGGCUCACCAAGCCGACGAUCUGUAGCUGGUCUGAGAGGACGACCAGCCACCCUGGGACUGAGACACGGCCCAGACUCCUACGGGAGGCAGCAGUGGGGAAUUUUGGACAAUGGGCGAAAGCCUGAUCCAGCCAUGCCGCGUGCAGGAUGAAGGCCUUCGGGUUGUAAACUGCUUUUGUACGGAACGAAAAGGUUUGGCCUAAUAAGCUGAGCUCAUGACGGUACCGUAAGAAUAAGCACCGGCUAACUACGUGCCAGCCGCCGCAGUAA
rnacentral:rRNA from 1 species